GACGAACGCUGGCGGCGUGCUUAACACAUGCAAGUCGAACGGAAAGGCCCGGCUUUUGCGGCGUGCUCGAGUGGCGAACGGGUGAGUAACACGUGAGUAACCUGCCCUUGACUUUGGGAUAACUUCACGAAACUGGGGCUAAUACCGGAUAGGAGCUCCUGCUGCAUGGUGGGGGUUGGUAAGUUUCGGCGGUUGGGGCUGGACUCGCGGCUUAUCCGCUAGUUGGUGGGGUAGUUGCUUACCAGGCCUUUGACGGGUAGCCUGCCUGAGAGGGUGAACGGCCACAUUAGGACUGAGAGAGGGCGCAGUCUCGUACCGGAGGCAGCAGGGGAGAGUAUGGCAGAAUGGGCGCAAGCGAGAUGCGGAAAUGCCGCGUGCGUGAUGACGGCUUACGGGUUGUAAACCGAUUUGGAAUGUGACGAAGAGUGAUUGACGGUAAUGGGUAAGAAAGCAACGGCUAACUACGUG
rnacentral:rRNA from 1 species